AUGAGCGCUGAAGCUCACGGCCGUCACCUGAGAGCAGGUCGGGCCGGUCCACGUGUGCAGCUUCAGCGGCAGCUUCAGCGGCAGCUUCAGCUUCAGCUUCAGCAGCAGCUUCAGCUUCAGCAGCAGCUUCAGCUUCAGCAGCAGCUUCAGCUUCAGCAGCAGCUUCAGCUUCAGCUUCAGCAGCAGCUUCAGCUUCAGCAGCAGCUUCAGCUUCAGCUUCAGCAGCAGCUUCAGCUUCAGCAGCAGCUUCAGCUUCAGCUUCAGCAGCAGCAGCUUCAGCAGCAGCAGCUUCAGCAGCAGCAGCUUCAGCAGCAGCUUCAGCAGCAGCAGCUUCAGCAGCAGCUUCAGCAGCAGCAGCUUCAGCAGCAGCUUCAGCAGCAGCAGCUUCAGCAGCAGCAGCAGCUUCAGCAGCAGCAGCAGCUUCAGCAGCAGCAGCUUCAGCAGCAGCAGCAGCUUCAGCAGCAGCAGCUUCAGCAGCAGCUUCAGCAGCUUCUCCAGCUUCAGCAGCAGCUUCAGCAGCUUCUUCAGCUUCAGCAGCAGCUUCAGCAGCUUCUUCAGCUUCAGCAGCAGCUUCAGCAGCUUCUUCAGCUUCAGCAGCUUCUUCAGCUUCAGCAGCAGCUUCUUCAGCUUCAGCAGCAGCUUCAGCAGCAGCUUCAGCAGCAGCUUCAGCAGCUUCUUCAGCAGCAGCUUCAGCAGCAGCUUCAGCAGCUUCUUCAGCAGCAGCUUCAGCAGCAGCUUCAGCAGCAGCUUCAGCAGCAGCAGCUUCAGCAGCAGCAGCUUCAGCAGCAGCAGCUUCAGCAGCAGCUUCAGCAGCAGCAGCUUCAGCAGCAGCAGCUUCAGCAGCAGCUUCAGCAGCAGCUGCUUCAGCAGCAGCUUCAGCAGCAGCUUCAGCAGCAGCUUCAGCAGCAGCUUCAGCAGCAGCUUCAGCAGCAUCAGCAGCAGCUUCAGCAGCAUCAGCAGCAGCUUCAGCAGCAGCUUCAGCAGCAUCAGCAGCAGCUUCAGCAGCAGCUUCAGCAGCAGCAGGCUCCACACAAGGCAGGCAGCGAAAGAACAAGACAAUGGGAGAACACCAGUCUCGCCUGA
rnacentral:lncRNA from 1 species